rnacentral:lncRNA from 1 species
UUCCAUUCCAAGUUUUCUGAGGAAUCUCCAUACUGCUUUUCAAAAUGGUUGCAACAUUUUGCAGUCCCACCAGAAAUGUAUAAAUGUACCUUUUUUAAAAUAUUUUUUUUAGUUACCAGUGGACCUUUAUUUUUAUUAUAUGCAAUGCUGAGAAUCAAACCCAGUGCCUCACACAUACUAAGCAAAUGUUCUACCACUGAGCCACAACCCUAGCCCUGAGUGUUCCUUUUCCCUCAUAGCCUCACCAACAUUUAUCGUUGCUUGUAUUCUUGAUAAUUGUCAUUCUGACUAGAGUGAGAUGAAAUCUCAGUGUAGUUUUGAUUUGCAUUUCUGUAAUUGCUAGAGAUGUUGUACAUUUUUUUCAUAUGUUUGUUGAUCAAUUGUAUUUCUUCUGUGAAGUGUCUGUUCAGUUCCUUAGCCCAUUUAUUGAUUGGGUUAUUUGUUUUGGGAGUGUUAAGUUUUUUGAGAUCCUUACAUAUCCUGGAGAUUAAUGCUCUAUUUGAGGUGCCUGUAGUAAAGAUUUUCUCCCAUUCUGUAGGCUCUCUUUUCUUAUUAUUGUUUUCUUUGCUGAGAAGAAGCUUUUUAGUUGGAAUCCAUUCCACUAGAACAGAGACCCUGCACCUAAUAGAAAUAGCACAAGAAAAGAAUCAACAAGUGGAAUUGAUUCAAACCAAAAUCUUAAUCCCUAAUAUAGUACCAUUUUAUUAACUGUUGUCCUCAUGAUUUCUAGAUCUGUUCAUCUUUCAUGUCUGCUGUUUUGUGUCUUUUGACCUAUUCUCUUCAUUUCCUCUUUCCCCACCCACUCAUGGUUACCACUGUUUCAUUCUCUGUAUUAAAAUAUGGAUCAUUUUACACAUUAUUCCAUCAUAAAUCAUUCCAAAUCAGAUGUGGUUUGUAGUCUGUGAUUUAGAAUUCCUUUGUAAGACUCCAUCUGUUUCUCCAGAAAAGGUCAGUGUGCUGAAAUUUCCAUGAAUAAGAGACUAUUGAAGAGCUGGUUGUGAACAAUAUGUAAUCCGCUAGUUAAUCUUGAAAGGCUACAAAACCUGAUUGUUAGGCUUGCUUCUGCCUCCCUCUAAUUCCCUCUCAUUUCUUGUUUUUGUCUUAUCUUUUCAUUCCCUCUUUCGUCCCAUUUCAACUGUUUAAUUAUUCCCAUUAAUCAUAACAUAAUUUAAUUAAAGUUUUUGUUUAAGCCUGUUAUUUUAAUUUUUAUAAACUUUGUAUUAAAAUAUAAUAUGCAUGAAGUGUAUAGAUCAUAAGCAUACACUUUGCUGGAUUAUUUGAAAGACAGCACCCAUGUAACCACCAGCCAUGCAAAGAAAUAGAAUAUUACCAACACCCCAGGAGCCCCUUUGUCCAUCUUUCCUAUUAUUACAUGCUCCCUCCUCCUAAAGGUAACCAUCAUCCUGGCCUUUAACACCAUAGAUUACUUUUGCCAUUUUUGAAGUUUAUGUACCAAGUGUAUUCAUUUGUUUCUGGCUCUUUCACAUUUACUUCCUCUUUCACAUUCCAUGGACAGACAUUUUUAUUUUGUUAUCAUCA